UACGGAGGAUCCAAGCGUUGUCCGGAUUUAUUGGGUUUAAAGGGUGCGUAGGCGGCUUAGUAAGUCGGCGGUGAAAUACCGAGGCUCAACCUCGGCACUGCCGUCGAUACUGCUAUGGCUAGAGUUUGGUAGAGGAGAACGGAAUUCCCGGUGUAGCGGUGGAAUGCGCAGAUAUCGGGAGGAACACCGGUGGCGAAGGCGUCUACCUGGCCUUAAACUGACACUGAAUCACGAAAGCGUGGGUAGCAAACAGG
rnacentral:rRNA from 1 species